rnacentral:rRNA from 1 species
CCUACGGGAGGCAGCAGUGAGGAAUAUUGGUCAAUGGACGAGAGUCUGAACCAGCCAAGUAGCGUGAAGGAUGACUGCCCUAUGGGUUGUAAACUUCUUUUAUAUGGGAAUAAAACGUUCCACGUGUGGGAUUUUGUAUGUACCAUAUGAAUAAGGAUCGGCUAACUCCGUGCCAGCAGCCGCGGUAAUACGGAGGAUCCGAGCGUUAUCCGGAUUUAUUGGGUUUAAAGGGAGCGUAGGUGGAUUGUUAAGUCAGUUGUGAAAGUUUGCGGCUCAACCGUAAAAUUGCAGUUGAAACUGGCAGUCUUGAGUACAGUAGAGGUGGGCGGAAUUCGUGGUGUAGCGGUGAAAUGCUUAGAUAUCACGAAGAACUCAGAUUGCGAAGGCAGUUCACUGGACUGCAACUGACACUGAGGCUCGAAAGUGUGGGUAUCAAACAGGAUUAGAUACCCCAGUAGUC